rnacentral:snoRNA from 1 species
GAAGCAUUGGUUAUGAGAGAAUCCAAAAUGUUGCACUUUGAUUACUACUGAAGAAACUUAGGGGAAUAUAUAUCUAUGAGAUGCUC